rnacentral:lncRNA from 1 species
CACUGGGUGGGGGGUGGGGGGGGAGGGGAUGGUCUUUGCCACCCUGCCUCAGCCUCCUGUGAGCAGGGCAGGUUCUGCAGUUGCUGGGUCCAUUGCCUCUUCAUUGCCUUGAAUCACCAUCUCACACAUUAACCUUUCUUAUUACAACUCAUUUCCAGCCACCUUGUCCUCAGGAGGCUUUCUCAUCCCCCCUCCAUGGAGACACUAUACCUUCCCAGGACCCCCUUUCUCUUGCAGCACAGUGCUACUGGAGCCAGGCUAUCGGGAGCCCCCACCAUCCCAGCAUGGCCCCUUACAGGAAGCAUGCCCACAGAGGGGCUGGAGGAGAGGGCUGCAGAGGAGUUGGCUUCUCCCAGUUGACCCGGGACUCAGCAGACUUUGCUUGCAAAGAUCGCCGUCACCUGUACAAGAGCACCAGCAAUCCUGUUAAUAGCCGGAGGGCAGUAAACAGAGGAAAAACUCAGUUCAAAACAAAUUUGUGUGAAAUUCCAAAGCAGCUCUGGAAGGUCCCUAACACGCUGUGA